rnacentral:rRNA from 1 species
CAGUAGCCACGGUAAUACGGAGGAUCCAAGCGUUAUCCGGAUUUAUUGGGUUUAAAGGGUGCGUAGGUGGCCUGUUAAGUCAGGGGUGAAAGACGGUAGCUCAACUAUCGCAGUGCCCUUGAUACUGAUGGGCUUGAAUUAACUAGAGGUAGGCGGAAUGCGACAAGUAGCGGUGAAAUGCAUAGAUAUGUCACAGAACACCAAUUGCGAAGGCAGCCUACUAUGGUUUUAUUGACACUGAGGCACGAAAGCGUGGGGAUCAAACAGGAUUAGAUACCCCCGUAGUCCCUGUCGCUUAUAA